AUCUGUUCUCAUCGGUUUAAUAUCUGAUAUGUACCCUAUUUAAGGACUACAUAUUAAAUGGAUUUUUGGAACAGGGAGAUGGAAUAGGAGCUUGCUCUACCCACUCCAUGCAUCGACUUGGUAUUGCAUGAUCUCCAGAGAUGGUGC
rnacentral:snRNA from 1 species